rnacentral:rRNA from 1 species
CCGUGUGGUAAAACCUCUUUGUCAAAGCUUCGUCGGCUCUCAGAAGCUAUGCAGGGUUGGGCCUUGUUAGUACUUGGAUGGAUGACCGCUGGGAGUACUAGGUGCCAUUAUGGA